rnacentral:rRNA from 1 species
UACGUAUGGGGCAAGCGUUAUCCGGAAUUAUUGGGCGUAAAGAGUGCGUAGGUGGUUACCUAAGCGCAAGGUUUAAUCUUGAGGCUCAACCUCAUUCUGCCUUGCGAACUGGGCUACUUGAGUGCAGGAGGGGAAAGCGGAAUUCCCAGUGUAGCGGUGAAAUGCGUAGAUAUUGGGAAGAACACCGGUGGCGAAGGCGGCUUUCUGGACUGUAACUGACACUGAGGCACGAAAGCGUGGGGAGCAAACAGGAUUAGAUACCCCCCGUAGUCCCUGA